GGCCAAGAUUUCUGGAAUGAAUCAUGGUUUAAAUCUAUAUGGUCCCUGGAUUGGACUGCGGCCGAUCAGGCUGUUGGUGAGGUAAUGGCCCACCAAACCUGUAACCGGUACGGGCUCUGAGAGGAGGAGCCCGGAGAUGGGCACUUAGACAAGGGCCCAGGCCCUAUGGGGCGCAGCAGGCGCGAAACCUCUGCAAUAAGCGAAAGCUUGACAGGGUUACUCUGAGUGAUUUCCGCUAAGGAAGUCUUUUGGCACCUCUAAAAAUGGUGCAGAAUAAGGGGUGGGCAAGUCUGGUGUCAGCCGCCGCGGUAAUACCAGCACCCCGAGUGGUCGGGACGAUUAUUGGGCCUAAAGCAUCCGUAGCCGGUCCUGCAAGUCCUCCGUUAAAUCCACCCGCUCAACGGUUGGGCCGCGGGGGAUACUACAGGGCUAGGAGGCGGGAGAGGCAAGCGGUACUCGAUGGGUAGGGGUAAAAUCCACUGAUCCAUUGAAGACCACCAGUGGCGAAGGCGGCUUGCCAGAACGCGCUCGACGGUGAGGGAUGAAAGCUGGGGGAGCAAACCGGAUUAGAUACCCGGGUAGUCCCAGCUGUAAACGAUGCAGACUCGGUGAUGGGCUGGCUUCGUGCCAACCCGGUGCC
rnacentral:rRNA from 1 species